CCGAAUAUAUAUUAUGAUACUCGAUAUCAUUACAUCUUUCAAUGUAAGUUCGUAGUGUAUCAAUUGCUGCUCUUGCUUCUUUAUUUGACACCGAUGGUUUUAAAUCUGCUGGAUCAGUUUGAUCAUCGUCAUUUUGAUUAUCGUUAUCGUUAUUUCACGUAAAGUUAAGGUCGUUAGUUUUCUUUUAGUACUCAUGUUGUUGCUUGUUAACAGCCAAACAAAUAUGUACUGACUGAGCCAAGUAACCAAAAGUGACCAAAAAUGAAGAAACAUAACAUCUGUGUUUCUUAGAAAUUAGAAAGUUUAUUGAAUGUAUUCAUUCCUUGCACGUGUGCAAAACAAAAACAAUAGAUAAGAAGCCCCGAGCCCCGAACAUUCCUUUUUAUUGCCACGAGUUUUGAGCUCCGGGAAUCCCGAGUAAGAAAUCAUUAUAUUUUAUGAACUUCGACUUACUGAGGGAUUUUGCACCUGAGUUUGACAUCGUAGAAGGACCAUUCUUGCAUCAGAUUGGAUUUUGCACCUGAGUCUGACAUCGUAAAAGGACCAUUCUUUCAUCAUAUUGUAAUUAUCUCGACAACUAAAAGGGCUAGGAAACAAAGAACUACAGAUUCUUGAUCCUUGAAGAAUUCUGGACAAGAUGGCAUCCUUAUUGAAAAACAUCAAAAAUGGGACAAAAAGGCAAAAGAUUUCUCUUUUUUAUGUUGAAAAUUAAAAGUUGGAAUUUUGAAAUUCUGUUUUCGGCUACUGAUCGAUAAUUUAAUUCUACAUCGAUUAUUUUAGUAAAGUUUUUUGCUUUGAUUAACGGUUUAGGCCCUAUUUGCAAUUUUAUAGAAAAAAUGGAAUAUGUAGUGUGAAAAUGGAGUAGGCUGAAUUUCCAGUAAUCUCUAAUAGCGGCGUAGUAGUUACUCAUAGAUAGAUGACACUAGUGAUAUCUUUUAAAAUUAAUAUUGAUACAAUAUAAAAUGGAUUUUGAACUAUUUUCCAUAUCUAGUAGUGGCAUUUCCAUUAAAGUUUAGGGGAUUUAUGGAUUGAUUAAAGGAGUAACGAUGUUGCGAGCUAUGUUUUC